rnacentral:rRNA from 1 species
GGCGAGUGAAGCGGCAACAGCUCAAAUUUGAAAGCUAGCCUUCGGGUUCGCAUUGUAAUUUGUAGAGGAUGAUUUGGGGAAGCCGCCUGUCUAAGUUCCUUGGAACAGGACGUCAUAGAGGGUGAGAAUCCCGUAUGUGACAGGAAAUGGCACCCUAUGUAAAUCUCCUUCGACGAGUCGAGUUGUUUGGGAAUGCAGCUCUAAAUGGGAGGUAAAUUUCUUCUAAAGCUAAAUAUUGGCGAGAGACCGAUAGCGCACAAGUAGAGUGAUCGAAAGAUGAAAAGCACUUUGGAAAGAGAGUUAAAAAGCACGUGAAAUUGUUGAAAGGGAAGCGCUUGCAAUCAGACUUGUUUAAACUGUUCGGCCGGUCUUCUGACCGGUUUACUCAGUUUGGACAGGCCAGCAUCAGUUUCGGCGGCCGGAUAAAGGCUCUGGGAAUGUGGCCUCCACUUCGGUGGAGGUGUUAUAGCCCAGGGUGUAAUACGGCCAGCCGGGACUGAGGUCCGCGCUUCGGCUAGGAUGCUGGCGUAAUGGUUGUAAGCGACCCGUCUUG